rnacentral:rRNA from 1 species
AGUCGAACGAGAGAGAGGGAGCUUGCUUCCUCGAUCGAGUGGCGAACGGGUGAGUAACGCGUGAGGAACCUGCCUCAAAGAGGGGGACAACAGUUGGAAACGACUGCUAAUACCGCAUAAGCCCACGGCUCGGCAUCGAGCAGAGGGAAAAGGAGCAAUCCGCUUUGAGAUGGCCUCGCGUCCGAUUAGCUAGUUGGUGAGGUAACGGCCCACCAAGGCGACGAUCGGUAGCCGGACUGAGAGGUUGAACGGCCACAUUGGGACUGAGACACGGCCCAGACUCCUACGGGAGGCAGCAGUGGGGAAUAUUGCACAAUGGGGGAAACCCUGAUGCAGCGACGCCGCGUGGAGGAAGAAGGUCUUCGGAUUGUAAACUCCUGUUGUUGAGGAAGAUAAUGACGGUACUCAACAAGGAAGUGACGGCUAACUACGUGCCAGCAGCCGCGGUAAAACGUAGGUCACAAGCGUUGUCCGGAAUUACUGGGUGUAAAGGGAGCGCAGGCGGGCGAUCAAGUUGGAAGUGAAAUCCAUGGGCUCAACCCAUGAACUGCUUUCAAAACUGAUUGUCUUGAGUAGUGCAGAGGUAGGCGGAAUUCCCGGUGUAGCGGUGGAAUGCGUAGAUAUCGGGAGGAACACCAGUGGCGAAGGCGGCCUACUGGGCACCAACUGACGCUGAGGCUCGAAAGUGUGGGUAGCAAACAGGAUUAGAUACCCUGGUAGUCCACACCGUAAACGAUGAUUACUAGGUGUUGGAGGAUUGACCCCUUCAGUGCCGCAGUUAACACAAUAAGUAAUCCACCUGGGGAGUACGACCGCAAGGUUGAAACUCAA